rnacentral:rRNA from 1 species
UCUUAGGACAUUGCUUGAUAUUGAUUAAAUUAUAUUUUUUUUUAUUAUAGUUUUGUUAUUUAAAAUAUAAUUGGUUAUUGUAAUUUUUAUGAAUAAAUUUAUUUUAUUAUAGUUUAUUAAUAUUGUGAAAGAAUUUUUAUUUAUUUAAUAAAGAAGUUUUUUUUUAAUGUACCUUGUGUAUCAGGGUUGAUUUAUUAAUUUUUAUUUAUUUUUAAUUUUCUCGAAUUUAAAAGAGUUAAUUUAUUAUAUUUUUUACUGUUAAAUAAUUAUUAUUUAUAAAAUAUUAGAAAUGAAACGUUAUUCGAUUUUAAUUAUAUCUAGUUUUUAAAGAAACAGAUUUAAUCUGAUUUUUAUUAUUAUGAUUUAAUUUAUUUUAUAUUUUAAUACUAAAUUUAAAUAAUGGUGGGGUUGAGCUUUUUAUUAUAAUAAUAUAAUUUUUAUUGUUUGUUUUUGUAAUGGAAUUAGAAGUUUUAAUUUUAUAUUGAGUUAUUUCUUAUUUAAGUAAUUAUUAUAUUUUUAUUAAAAAUUUAUUUUUUAUAUUUAAAUAUUAAUUUUAAUUUUUUUUUGUUUAUUAACAAUGAUUUAAUUAGUAAAUAUUUUUUGUUUUUAUUAGGUACAUAUUUUAGGCAAAAUAAAGGAAUUCGGCAAAUUUAUUUUUUACCUGUUUAUUAAAAACAUGUCCUUUUAGUUUUUGGAUUUAAGGUCUAGCCUGCCCAAUGAUUAAUUUUUGUUUAAUGGCCGCGGUAUUUUGACCGUGCAAAGGUAGCAUAAUCAUUAGUUUUUUAAUUGAAAGCUGGAAUGAAGGGCUGAAUAAAAAAAUUACUGUCUCUGUUUUGUUAAAUUUGAAUUUUAUUUUUAAGUCAAAAAGCUUAAAUUUUAAAUGAAGACGAGAAGACCCUAUAGAGUUUAAAAUCUGUUGUUAAAUUUUAUUAAAGGAAUUUUUAUUAAAUUAUUUAAUUUUAUGAGUUUUGAUUGGGGUGAUUAUAAAAUUUAUUUAACUUUUUUUUAUAUAAAAUCAUUUAUUUAUGUUUAAUUUGAUCCUUUUUUAGAUUAUAAGAAUAAAUUACCUUAGGGAUAACAGCGUUAUUUUUUUUUAGAGUUCUUAUCGCUAGAAAAGUUUGCGACCUCGAUGUUGGAUUAAAAUUUUAUUUUGGUGUAGAAGCUUCAAUUUUAUGUCUGUUCGACAUUUAAAAUUUUACAUGAUCUGAGUUUAAACCGGUGUGAGCCAGGUUGGUUUCUAUCUCUUUUAUUCUUUAAUUGUUUAGUACGAAAGGACCAGCUAUUAUUUAUAUUUAAAAUUUAAUUUGAUUAAAAUUAUUGUUUUGGCAGAUUAGUGCUUUGGAUUUAGAAUCUGAAUAUAUAAAUUAUUAU